UUCAAGGAAAGGACACUAGUUUAAUUAAGGUCUGUGCUUGCAACAGGGGCCUGAAUGGUGCCCAGUUCUCCUCCUCUCUGGAUCAACAGCAGCAGCACAAGCUUCUCAUGUGUGCACGUACCUUGCCUCUAGCAGACACUGGUCUCCGUUUCACUGCAUCCCCUUCUGGCUCUGCUAACACUAUUCUCGGUUGCCGACCUGUUCUCAUGGGCACAGCUUGGCUUGUGUGGCUGCUUCAGCUGAAGACUCUCCAGGGAGUGUUUGACCUCAGCAUGGAAGAAAAGGCUGGACUACACAGCGAGCUUUGAGUAGCUGGCUGGAGGACCCAUUUUCACACACAGAGGUCAACUUUGAUACACUUGAGAAGAAUCUGGUCCACUUAUUUGAUUUCACAUUAAUCUAUACCCAGAGGAUUGAUUUAUGAUUGUGUAGACAUGAUUUGGCCCAGAGCAAGAGCAGGAUGUUAGCAGCAUUUCUUCAACCUACUUCUCUCCAUUACAUGGAAGAGCUUUUAGUGCUGACAAAUAAAUCAAUUGGAGCAAUUUUCUUAAACAUUUAUAAGGUGACUAGUUAGGCUGUUUUUCGUUCCCUGUAGGUUGUGAGUUAUCAUAUUGUUUCCAGGAGAUUAUGACUAGGAUCAAUCAUCAGAUUUUUCAAUCUGAGUAAUUAAACCUCAAUUCACUCACCUCAGAGAAUACCCUCAAAAUAGUUAUACGAGAGCAUUUCAACCCUUCAGUUACUAAAAGGUAAGUAUGGAAAGUGCUGAAGGAGUCAGCAUCACAGAAUCCUAGAAUGGCUUGGGAUGGAAGGGACCUUAAAGAUCAUCUAAUUCCAACCCCUCUGCCAUGUGCAGGGAACCCACCCACUAGAU